rnacentral:rRNA from 1 species
UAUUAAAUUCAGUUAUGGUUCCUUAGAUCGUUUCUUCCUACUUGGAUAACUGUGGCAAUUCUAGAGCUAAUACAUGCAGUGAGCCUGAAGCCCUUUGGGCGACGGGUGCUUUUAUUAGACCAAGAUCGAUCGGGUUUCGGCCCGUAUUGUGUGGUGACUCUGGAUAACUUUGUGCUGAUCGCAUGGCCACGAGCCGGCGACGUUUCUUUCAAGUGUCUGCCUUAUCAACUUUCGAUGGUAGGUUACUUGCUUACCAUGGUUGUUACGGGUAACGGAGAAUCAGGGUUCGAUUCCGGAGAGGGAGCCUGAGAAACGGCUACCACAUCCAAGGAAGGCAGCAGGCGCGCAAAUUACCCACUCCCGGCACGGGGAGGUAGUGACGAAAAAUAACAAUACGGGACUCUUUUGAGGCCCCGUAAUUGAAAUGAGUACACUCUAAAUCCUUUAACGAGGAUCAAUUGGAGGGCAAGUCUGGUGCCAGCAGCCGCGGUAAUUCCAGCUCCAAUAGCGUAUACUAAAGCUGCUGCGGUUAAAAAGCUCGUAGUUGGAUCUCAGUUCCAGACGAGUAGUGCAUCUACCCGAUGCGACGGCUCGGACUGAACAUCAUGCCGGUCCUUUCUUGGUGCACUUCAUUGUGUGCCUCGAGAAGGCCGGUGCUUUUACUUUGAAAAAAUUAGAGUGCUCAACGCAGGCGAGUCGCCUGAAUAAACUUGCAUGGAAUAAUAGAACAAGACCUCGUUUCUGUUCUGUUGGUUUUUGGAAUACGAGGUAAUGAUUAAGAGGGACAGACGGGGGCAU